UAGCGAUUCACAUAAAACGUGAUAGCGCGAGAACAACUGCAUGUUAAGUAAGAAUUCGAUACGAGAAAUCAUGAAUCACAACGUGAAGAUUCUCUUUCUAUUUUCUCUAAUUUUCAUGUUUGGAUACUUUGUGACACCCUCGGAAGGAAGGGAUUCACCAAGAUGCGGCACAUUUCCGAAAGAACUUUGCGGUUCUCCAUUGAUGGAAGAAGUCUGUCCGAAUAUGUGUCGCAGAGUGAUGAGUGGAAGAGGAAAAUAAAUUGCUACGGCACAAGGAGUCAAGGAUUUGAUGCAGAUUUUACACAAACUUCUAAAUAGAUUAGAAAUAUGUAAUUCUUUUAUCGAAUAACAAGUGUACGUAAAGAAUUUUUAAAAUAUAUCCACUAUAAACUUCCAAUAUACAAAGUUUUUCAUUUUAUGAACCCAUAAGCUUGCAACACGUUUAAAACGAAAACUUGAUUUUACUGUUAAGAUAGUCACGCAAGUAUUCACAGUACAAUAUACGGCAGCAGACAUUUUAUAUAAAAAGUAGAAGAGUGUAUUGAUAAUAGACACGCCAAGCAGUCGACACGAAGCAACAUUAUUCAAAGUGUC